GAAACAAGAUGAAUCUUAUUGCUUGGAUAUGAUAGAGGAUACAACCUUUGAUACAUCAGAAGGCCACAAGCUACUUAAAAACAACUCUUGAGUUUAUGAUUUCCGACUCAGAACAGAGACUUUACGGGUCACUUCUGCCCGCUGUGGCGCAGAAUACCAUAUACAUCCACAACACCAGGAGGAAACACUGGAUCAGUAGCCGCCCUUACCGCAACCUUUGCCACUGCAGUGGCGCUCACGGGAGGAGU
rnacentral:misc_RNA from 1 species